UUCGAGGAAGGCAAGCGUUAUCCGGAAUCAUUGGGCGUAAAGCGUGCGCAAGCGGUUUUGUAAGUGAGGUGUAAAAUUCCAACGCUCAACGUUGGACUCGCGCUUCAUACUGCAAGACUUGAGAAUAGUAGAGGCAAAUGGAAUUCCCGGUGUAGUAGUGAAAUGCGUUAAUAUCGGGAGGAACGCCUAAAGCGAAAGCAAUUUGCUGGGCUAUUUCUGACGCCGUUGCACGACAGCGUGGGGAGCAAACAGG
rnacentral:rRNA from 1 species